CGGGGCUGGAGCCAGCAUGGCACAGGCGCGAGACGGUUGCUUAGCCGCCUGUGGCCUGCUCAGGGCCUUGGACUGUUUGCUGAGGCCACCUGCCCACACAUCCCUGUCCACCUGGCCUCCCAGCCCGGUGCAGGUUCCCCGCUGGGGACGUGACAGGUCAUGGACUAACCCCGGGGGUCACUGCUUCGAGGAGGGGUGGGAUCGAGCAGCGCUCCCAAGGAGAGCGUCAACGUGCUGUGGGACAGCUAACGCAGGGUUGGGGAGGUGAGACCCCCUGGCUGGUGGUCUGGGUCUCCUGCAGAGCCUGAGGACAGCCAGGACAUGUGGCAAAGGUCCCCAGCACUGUGAGGAGCCAGGUGUGGCGCCAGGCCCGGGAGGCCAGUGCCCUUGUGCUGUGCAAGGCACUGUGUCUGUCUCGGGUCAGCACGUGCGUAGGCAUGUGGGACCUGUGGUCUGUGUCACCCCAGGGUGGAGCCCCAAAUAGGCUCCACCAGGCUCACUCUGGC
rnacentral:lncRNA from 1 species